GGAGAUGUACCCAAGUGGUCAAAGGGGGCAGACUGUAAAUCUGCUGCGGUAUCGCUUCGCAGGUUCGAAUCCUGCCAUCUCCACCA
rnacentral:tRNA from 1 species